GGGUUGUGAGGUUAAGCGACUAAGCGUACACGGUGGAUGCCCUGGCAGUCAGAGGCGAUGAAGGGCGUGCUAAUCUGCGAUAAGCGCCGGUAAGGUGAUAUGAACCGUUAUAACCGGCGAUACCCGAAUGGGGAAACCCAGUGUGACUCGUCACACUAUCAUUAACUGAAUCCAUAGGUUAAUGAGGCGAACCGGGGGAACUGAAACAUCUAAGUACCCCGAGGAAAAGAAAUCAACCGAGAUUCCCCCAGUAGCGGCGAGCGAACGGGGAGGAGCCCAGAGCCUGAAUCAGCAUGUGUGUUAGUGGAAGCGUCUGGAAAGGCGCGCGAUACAGGGUGACAGCCCCGUACACAAAAGCGCAUGUGCUGUGAGCUCGAUGAGUAGGGCGGGACACGUGGUAUCCUGUCUGAAUAUGGGGGGACCAUCCUCCAAGGCUAAAUACUCCUGACUGACCGAUAGUGAACCAGUACCGUGAGGGAAAGGCGAAAAGAACCCCGGCGAGGGGAGUGAAAAAGAACCUGAAACCGUGUACGUACAAGCAGUGGGAGCCCCACCACCAAAGCAUUUGCUGUACCGCGUUGACGGAGCGAAGCGACGUCAAACCGAUAAAACAGCAGUGUAAAGUGAGCCGCAGGGCGC
rnacentral:rRNA from 1 species